UAGGGAAUCUGCCACAAUGGGCGGAAAGCCUGAUGGAGCAACGCCGCGUGUGUGAUGAAGGGUUUCGGCUCGUAAACACUGUUGUAAGAGAAGAAUGACAUUGAGAGUAACUGUUCAAUGUGUGACGGUAUCUUACCAGAAAGGAACGGCUAAAUACGUACCAG
rnacentral:rRNA from 1 species